rnacentral:rRNA from 1 species
GUGGGGAAUAUUGGACAAUGGGCGAAAGCCUGAUCCAGCCAUGCCGCGUGUGUGAAGAAGGUCUUCGGAUUGUAAAGCACUUUAAGUUGGGAGGAAGGGCAGUAAGUUAAUACCUUGCUGUUUUGACGUUACCAACAGAAUAAGCACCGGCUAACUUCGUGCCAGCAGCCGCGGUAAUACGAAGGGUGCAAGCGUUAAUCGGAAUUACUGGGCGUAAAGCGCGCGUAGGUGGUUCAGCAAGUUGAAGGUGAAAUCCCCGGGCUCAACCUGGGAACUGCCUCCAAAACUACUGAGCUAGAGUACGGUAGAGGGUAGUGGAAUUUCCUGUGUAGCGGUGAAAUGCGUAGAUAUAGGAAGGAACACCAGUGGCGAAGGCGACCACCUGGACUGAUACUGACACUGAGGUGCGAAAGCGUGGGGAGCAAACAGGAUUAGAAACCCCAGUAGUCC